rnacentral:rRNA from 1 species
AGGGUGUGUGGUGGAUGCCUUGACUCUGAAUGGCGAUGAAGGACGCGGUCGUCUGCGAAAAGCUCCGGGGAGGUGACUAACAACCUUUGAUCCGGAGGUAUCCGAAUGGGGAAACCCUUCCCGAUAAUAUCGGGAAAUCGUGCGCGUGUGCGUACGAAGCGAACCCAGGGAAGUGAAACAUCUCAGUACCUGGAGGAAAAGAAACCAAACCAUAUCUCGGUCCCUGCGUCCGACUAGUGAGACGCAGAGACCGGGAUUCUGGAAUUCCCUUAGUAGCGGCGAGCGAAGAGGGAAUAGCCCAAACCCCGAGAGCAAUCGAGGGGGGUUGUAAGGCAGGGACGUUCCAAUUUAUUGGAAGGAGAGUUACCAAUCAUGUGUAUAGCGGAACGCGCUGGGAAGCGCGGCCCCAGAGGGUAACGGCCCCGUACGCGACAUACGCAUGACUCUCUUGUCCUUGUUCUUGAGUAGCCCGAGACACGAAUAGCUUGGGUGAAUCCGCCGGGACUAACCGGCAAGGCUAAAUACGUUCAGAGAUCGAUAGUGAACCAGUACCGUGAGGGAAAGGUGAAAAGCAGCCCGGUAAGGGCGGUGAAAUAGACCUGAAACCGCACAUCUACAAUGAGUCGAAGAGGUGGCGAGCAAUCGCAACCUCGACGGCGUGCCUAUUGAAGAAUGAGCCGGCGAGUGUAUGCAUGCGGCUUGGCUAAGGGGGAUACCCCGGAGCCGAAGGGAAACCGAGCGUUAAGAGCGCGUUGGUCGCUUGCAUACGACCCGAAGCCAGGUGAGCUUGCCAUGAGCAGGGUGAACCCCGACGAAAGUCGGGGGGAGGCCCGAACCGGUAGAUCGUACAACGUCUUCGGAUGACUUGUGGCAAGGAGUGAAAAGCUAAUCGAACCUGGUAAUAGCUGGUUCUCUCCGAAACAGCUUUUGGGCUGGCGUCUGAUGUACCCUCCAGGGGUAGAGCACUGGAAGGGGCGAACAGGGAGAAAUCUCGUCGCCCCUAUCAAACUCCGAAUACUGGAGAUCAAUUGUCAGGCAGUUAGACGGUGGGGGCAAAGCUCCAUUCGUCGAGAAGGGAAGAGCCUAGAUCUCAAGUUAAGGUCCCUAAAUCUGCGUUGAGUGCAUCUUAAGGAAGUGCGGAUUCUAAGACAGUGAGGAUGUUGGCUUAGAAGCAGCCACCAUUCAAAGAAAGCGUAACAGCUCACUCAUCGAGAAUCCGUGCGCCGAAGAUAAUCGGGGCUAAACGCAGUACCGAAACUGAGGGUGUGAUUGAUCUUCGGAUCGAUCAUGCGGUAGGAGAGCGUUCCGUACCGCGCUGAAGGGAAAGGGGUGACCCGUCCUGGAGCGUACGGAAGUGAGAAUGCCGGCACAAGUAACCACAAUGCGGGUGAGAACCCCGCACGCCGAAAGACCGAGGUUUCCGCGGCACUGAUGAUCAGCCGCGGGUUAGUCGGGCCUAAGGGGAUGGCGAACGCCGCACCCGAUGGACACACGGUUAAUAUUCCGUGACCUCGUACUGAUGCGAUGGAGAGACGGAGUGCUGUACGCGCUGCGCACAAUUGGAUGUGCGUCAUGUGCGCGAGGAGGAUCUGCAGGAAAAUCCGCAGGUCAUUACUCCGAGCGUACGGGCAAUGGUCCGGUUCGCCGGGUCAGAGAGCGCAGAGCGCGCUUCCGAGAAAAUCUUCUAAGCAUAAUCAGCACGAGUCCGUACCGCAAACCGACACAGGUGGUCUGGUGGAGAACACUAAGGCGAACGAGUGAGAGGUCCUCAAGGAACUCGGCAAAAAAGCGGCCGUAACUUCGGAAUAAGGCCCGUCCCGACCCCGCAAGGGUGAGGGAUCGCAGCGAAAGAUUCCCUGGCGACUGUUUACCAAAAACACAGCUCCCUGCGAACUCGCAAGAGGAUGUAUAGGGGGUGAUGCCUGACCAAUGCCAGAAGGUCAACUAGUGGUGGUCAUAUGAUCGCAAGAUUGUGUGGCUGGCCGCUAUAAGCCCUGGUCAAUGUCGGCGAUAACUAUAAUCGUCAACUACGCUACGCAGAUGAGAGUCUGUAAAAAAGUAGGGCGAUUAUAAAAUUCGGCUAUAUGCUGGAACAACUGAGUAUCUACCGGUACCGAAUAGGUAACAAUCCGUGUAGUGCAGUCAAUCAGCAGGAAAGGCCGAUGCAGGUGUACUCACAUGGUAAGUUAAAAUCAACUUAGCGUAUGAACUACACAAAAGAUGAUCUCCUGAAACUCUUCCACGGAAAACGAACUGCUUUGUUCUAUUACAUAGCAGGAUUUGUAGACGGAGAAGGAAGUUUCAGCGUUGCAAUCAUCAAGAAUCCCUUUAAGGAGGGAUGGCUGAUCAAUCCGUGUUUUCAGGUGUACCAACAUCAGAAGCACAGAGAAAUCCUCGAAUUAUGCCAAGAAGUGUUCAAGACCGGAAGCAUAUAUCGCAAAAGCGGUGUACAUCCAGUAUUGAACUUCAGCAUAAACUCGAUGCGGAACAUCAAGGAGCGGGUACUACCGUUUUUUGAUAAGUAUCCGCUCGUGACGAAGCGUGAUGCGUAUCAGAAAUUCCGAGAGGUCGUUUUUGCGCUCGAUCGGAAAGAGCACUUAACCUCAAAAGGUUUUGAGCGACUGGUACGCAUCGCGUAUAGCAUGAAUCAGCAGGGCAAGGGACGCAGGAGAACACUCGAAGAGGUUCUCGCGUCUCAGCCCAAACCUGCAUCGGAAUCCUCAGAGACUUUACGCCGAACUUCCGCAUAGUGUGAGCGGAAGAUGAUAAAGUCCAAUCCUCAGGGCGACCUGAGGGGCGAAAUGCCUAAGGUAGCGUAAUUCCUUGUCUGGUAAGUUCAGACGUGCACGAAUGGUAUAACGACUGGGGAACUGUCUCGAGGACUUGCUCGGUGAAAAUACAAUACCGGUGAAGAUGCCGGUUACCUAUGGUUAGACGAAAAGACCCCAGGAGCUUUACUGUAGCUUCGUAUUGGGGCUGUGAGGUUCAUGCGUAGCAUAGAGGGGAGAGGUUGAAGUCAUGAUUUCGGUCGUGAUGGACUCGCCAGUGCAAUACCCUCCUUGAACAUUGCAGUUCCUAACCUCGCGAUAACACGCGGGAGACAGUGCGUGGCGGGCAGUUUUAGUGGGGCGCUAUCCUGCUAAAGAGUACCGCAGGAGCCUACAAAGGUCAGCUAGGCGCGAAUGGAAACCGUGCCGGUCGUGUAAUGGCACAAGCUGGCUUAACUGCAAGACGCAAGUGUCGAGCAGACACGAAAGUGGAGCAUAGUGAACCGACGGUCCGCCUUAGAUGCGGCCGGAGAUUAUCUGACAAAAGUUACCCUGGGGAUAACAGGCUGGUACCGCCCAAGCGUCCAUAGCGACGGCGGUGUUCGGCACCUCGAUGUCGGCUCACCACAUCCCGGGGCUGGAGAAGGUCCCAAGGGUUUGGCUGUUCGCCAAUUAAAGUGGUACGCGAGCUGGGUUCAGACCGUUCAGUGCACGCACAAGCGCGCUUUGAACGGUCUGAAUCCCGAGAGUUAUAGAGCAAUCUAUCUGUUUGACUAACUGAGAGUAGAAAAAAGACGACAUAAUCACGGCGGCUCUGCUUAGGAAUAUGCAGAGAGAAGCUGACUUAUAUCGGUAAAACCCCCCGCGGGCGAUACCGAGGGAACCCUGAGAGAAAUCGAAGGAGCCCGUAGAGACUAAAUGUCAGCCAUCCAGAACGGAUGAAGUUAUAGUCCGAUGCACUGAGUAAUCAGUGAGAAACAUGCGUGAGACAGGUUGGUCUCCUAUCUACCAUAGGCGUGGAUUCUUGAAGGGAGUCGUCCCUAGUACGAGAGGACCGGGAUGAACAGACCUCUGGUCUGCCAGUUGUCCUGCCAAGGGCAUUGCUGGGUAGCUAUGUCUGGAACGGAUAACCGCUGAAAGCAUCUAAGCGGGAAGCCGCCCCUAAGAUGAGGAAUCG